rnacentral:rRNA from 1 species
CAGUUCGGUCCCUAUCUGCCGUGGGCGUUGGAAGAUUGAAGGGGGCUGCUCCUAGUACGAGAGGACCGGAGUGGACGAACCUCUGGUGUUCGGGUUGUGUCGCCAGACGCAUUGCCCGGUAGCUAAGUUCGGAAUCGAUAACCGCUGAAAGCAUCUAAGCGGGAAGCGAGCCCUGAGAUGAGUCUUCCCUGAUACUUUAAGUAUCCUAAAGGGKUGUCGGAGACUACGACGUUGAUAGGUCAGGUGUGUAAGUGCUGUGAGGCAUUGAGCUAACUGAUACUAAUUGCCCGUGAGGCUUAACCAUACAACACCCAAGGGGUUU